rnacentral:rRNA from 1 species
AUUGAACGCUGGCGGCAUGCCUUACACAUGCAAGUCGAACGGUAACGGGCCUUCGGGUGCCGACGAGUGGCGAACGGGUGAGUAAUGCAUCGGAACGUACCUUUCAGUGGGGGAUAACGUAGCGAAAGUUACGCUAAUACCGCAUAUUCUGUGAGCAGGAAAGCAGGGGAUCGCAAGACCUUUGCGCUGAUUGAGCGGCCGAUGUCAGAUUAGCUAGUUGGUGAGGUAAAGGCUCACCAAGGCGACGAUCUGUAGCGGGUCUGAGAGGAUGAUCCGCCACACUGGAACUGAGACACGGUCCAGACUCCUACGGGAGGCAGCAGUGGGGAAUUUUGGACAAUGGGGGCAACCCUGAUCCAGCCAUGCCGCGUGAGUG